rnacentral:lncRNA from 1 species
CUUUUCUCUUGCUCCCUCCCUUGCUAUGCGACACAUCGGUUCCCCUUGCCUUUCACCAUGAAUUAAAGCUUCCUGAGGCCCUCACCAGAAGCCAAGCAGAUGCUUGCACCAUGACUUUUGUAUAACCUGCAGAACUGUAAGCCAAAUAAACAUCUUUUCUGUGUAAAUUACCCAGCCUCACGUAUUCCUUUAGAGCAAUGCAAAACAGACUAGACAAAAGGCUUUUAAAAGUCUAAUCUGAGAUUCCUGACCAAAUGUUUCAGUAAAGUAGGCAUAAAAAGAGCUUGUGUGGUCAAUCACUAUUCUUGUUACACUUGUAUAGCUGAUCAGCCCAUGUUAAUGAGAUUAGACUUGUUUUGCAGGCUGAUUGAUCUUCCCAUGAUUGACUUUGGUGGGGAUGGGGAUGAUUGAGAGAAUAAUUAUGUUUCAGGAGAAAAACUAUUGUGCACUCAUUAUUAGAUUCUAGCUCUGUUCAUUUUGUAAAGCUUUUACUUGUAAACUGGACUAGAUCCUGGAUUCUUUUAGUUUCCUUCAAUAUCUGGUUGUAACUCUUCAAACUAACAUUUCCAAUUUUCUCCUAUCUUUCUGACUUGGAAUCACUAAGAACAAAAACUGCCCUUUUCCGGAAGCCCUGCAAGCUGAAGCUGGACAACUUAAUCUAGACUUAAAGAGAACUCACCACCACAGCUUACGUAUGGACAACUUUUGUGCCUGUUGCUGUGAGCUGCUCAGACAUCACUGGAAACAUUCAAACUGCAAAAGAUGCUUCAAAGUCAGAUGGACCCACCGGGACCAGCAACUCUUCCGUGGCUCCCACCCAGAAGCCAACUGAGUGCACCAGGACCAGCUUCCACACCCCGAUGGUUGCAUCCCCAACCAAUCAGCAGUACCAAUUCCCUAGUCCUCUGUCUGCC